CCGCGCGUCAUUGGGGAGUAGCCGCCUUCGGGUAUCAGAAGGGGGCGCGUCAACAGACUUGGGCCUUUGGCCCAUGGCGCGUCCGGCAGAUCAGCCUGGCGAGACCUUUGGCUUCGGAUUCCUUGCGUCCACGGGAUUGGGCGGGUUUCCGGGCCAUCGGUCAUGCGUUGCCCAAU
rnacentral:sRNA from 2 species